rnacentral:rRNA from 1 species
GACAGAGGGUGCAAACGUUGCUCGGAAUUACUGGGCGUAAAGUGUGCGCAGGCGGCUCCGCAAGUCGAGUGUGAAAUCCCCGAGCUUAACUUGGGAAUUGCGCUCGAAACUACGGAGCUGGAGUGUGGCAGAGGAAGGUGGAAUUCCACGUGUAGCGGUGAAAUGCGUAGAUAUGUGGAGGAACACCGAUGGCGAAGGCAGCCUUCUGGGCCAACACUGACGCUCAUGCACGAAAGCGUGGGGAGCAAACAGG